GCUGGAUUCGCUAGUAAUCGCGCAUCAGCCACGGCGCGGUGAAUACGUUCCCGGGCCUUGUACACACCGCCCGUCAAGCCAUGGAAGCCGGGAGUGCCUGAAGUGCGUGAGCGCAAGCAGCGCCCUAAGGUAAAACCGGUGACUGGGGCUAAGUCGUAACAAGGUAAC
rnacentral:rRNA from 1 species